rnacentral:rRNA from 1 species
GACGAACGCUGGCGGCGUGCUUAACACAUGCAAGUCGAACGGAAAGGCCCCCACCUUGGUGGGGGUGCUCGAGUGGCGAACGGGUGAGUAACACGUGGGUGAUCUGCCCUGUACUUCGGGAUAAGCUUGGGAAACUGGGUCUAAUACCGGAUAGGACCAUGGUUUAGUGUCUCAUGGUGGAAAAAUAUUGUUUUGGUGCAGGAUGAGCUCGCGGCCUAUCAGCUUGUUGGUGGGGUAAUGGCCUACCAAGGCGUCGACGGGUAGCCGGCCUGAGAGGGUGGACGGCCACAUUGGGACUGAGAUACGGCCCAGACUCCUACGGGAGGCAGCAGUGGGGAAUAUUACACAAUGGGCGCAAGCCUGAUGCAGCGACGCCGCGUGGGGGAUGACGGCCUUCGGGUUGUAAACUCCUUUCGUUAGGGACGAAGCCACACCUUUUUUGGGUGUGGUGACGGUACCUUUGUUAAGAAGCACCGGCUAACUACGUG